UAGGGAAUCUUGGACAAUGGGCGAAAGCCUGAUCCAGCCAUGCCGCGUGAGUGAAGAAGGCCUUAGGGUUGUAAAACUCUUUCGCCGGUGAAGAUAAUGACGGUAGCCGGAGAAGAAGCCCCGGCUAACUUCGUGCCAGCAGCCGCGGUAAUACGAAGGGGGCUAGCGUUGUUCGGAAUUACUGGGCGUAAAGCGCACGUAGGCGGAUCCGUAAGUUGGGGGUGAAAGCCCAGGGCUCAACCCUGGAAUUGCCUUCAAGACUGCGGGUCUGGAGGUCAGGAGAGGCGAGUGGAAUACCGAGUGUAGAGGUGAAAUUCGUAGAUAUUCGGUGGAACACCAGUGGCGAAGGCGACUCGCUGGACUGAUACUGACGCUGAGGUGCGAAAGCGUGGGGAGCAAACAGGAUUAGAUACCCCGGUAGUCC
rnacentral:rRNA from 1 species